ensembl:lncRNA
UUCUUUUUUUUUUUUUUAAUUUUUUUUUUUUUUGGGGGGGUGAUUUUGGAUUUCAUGCAAAACUGCUCUGAAACAAUGAGCUUCUUAAACACAGGCCAGGAAAACACGAGGACAAGCAAAAUGAAGAGUCGGAUGUCAGUUUUAUUUUUGAAUUUCUUGGCUUUUCUGCUGGUUUCUCCUGGCAUAAUUAAAACAUACUUUCCAGCAUUUCAUUUCCUACUUCUUUUGUAAAGAAAAAAAAUUUCCAUAGGAGGGAUUUUAGUUGGUUUUUUUUUUUCACUUCUUUUAUAAAACACUCUCUAUCAACUCCAGAUCCUGUGGCUCACACAAAUCUAGUAUUUACACAGGUUUAUGAUAAGGUCCGCCAUGAUAUUAUGAAUAUGCAUAAUUAACAAUAUUGUGAAAAACAGAAUUGCAGAUUUAGUGAUUUUGAUUUUUGUUUUUCCUUUAAACCAGCAAAACUAAAGUGCUUUUAAAGGGCUCAGCCAUGAUAUUUUUUUCACAAUUUCAAAAUCCUUUUUCUCUUUGACUCUUACUAUAAACCCUUCUUGGAGUUUGAAUUGAAAAUCUUUUAUUUUUCCAUAAUUUUUUUUCUUUUUUGCUUCCCCCCCCCCCCCCCCCCCCUUUUUUUUUUCUUUUUUAGGUCUAUUCUAUUCCUAUUAUUUUGCUGUUACGGGGGGCCUGUGAGUUCUGGACUGUGCAUACACUGGUUUAUUAUUGUAGGGUUGCCCUUGAAUACUGGGGUCUUGGUAUUGAUCUUUUUAAAAAUAAAUAACAAAAAAGCACUGAAACACGCAUUGUUUCAAGAAAAAAGCAAUAUAGGAGAGAGACGUGGCCUUUCCCCCCCAAAGUGGGGGAGGGAGAGGAAGGGAAAGAUUAGGUCAACAUUGAGUUUUACCAACCUUGACACAGUCUCCUCUCUAAAAUGGGGACAAAAUAGCAAGAUGGCUGGCUCACAGCUGCAGCAGUUUGGGCUUUUUUUGGUGUUUUUUUUUAAUUCUUCCCCCCCCCCCCCAAAAGGCAUUUUUAAAUUUUGAACUCAGAAGUGAGUUCCUGGAGCUGCCAGGCAGCAAAUGCUGAAAUCCAGGCGUUUAAAAGAAAAGAUUAAAUUUCAAUCCAGAAUUUAUUUUUAAAUCUGAAUCUCAAACCCCUAAAGUUUUUUUUUUUUUUUUUGAUGGUUGGUUUUUUUGGGUUGGUUUUUUUUUUUUUUUUUAAGUUUUGCUUUUUAUUUAACUGUAACUUGAUAAUUGCUGGAAAUGAGGCAGGAGUGGCUGGUGAAUUCAG